rnacentral:rRNA from 1 species
AUGCCGCUGGCGGACACGAAACUGAAGAAAAAUGACCUCCAGCCUAUCUGCGACAAGCUCAUUGCCAGGACGAAGGGCUGCAAGCUCUCCCUACUUACCCUAGAUGGGCGGCUGGACCUGAUCAGAACGGUGCUCUCGGCGAUGCCGAUCUUCCAAAUGCUUGUGCUGAUCUUACCGGCAUGGCUUGCUAAACUGAUUGACAAGGUUUGACGCGGGUUCCUUUGGGAGGGCAGCGGGGUGGCGCCCGAAGGGAAAUGUCUUGUCAGUUGGAGAACCGUCUGUAGGCCUAAGGAAUUCGGCGGGCUCGGUAUCAUCAACUUGAUGGCCCAAAGUCGCGCCCUAUGGAUGAGGUGGCUGUGGCAUUCCUGGACCGAUAACAACAAAACCUGGCAGGGACUGGAACUUCCUAUUGAUCGUACAGUGAAAUCUCUCUUCAACGCCUUUGUCGACUUCCAGCUAGGCAAUGGAGAGCGUGUUCUUUUUUGGAAGGAGUCGUGGUUUAAGGGCGUCACCCUCCAGGAUGCUUUCCCCGCGCUGUUUCAGCAUUGCACCAGGAAAAACCUCACAGUAGCGCAAGCCAUGGGGAACAACCCACUACCGGACUCGCGGUCUAUGCCUACGGCCACGGGCCGUCGGCAUAGGCCCCUAGGCCGUCGACAUAGAUCUAUGCCGACGGCAGCCGUCGGCAUAGAUCCGUCAGUCUAG